ensembl:ncRNA F46A9.8 ncRNA
CAAAACGUUCAAAAAUGUAUGAACAAGAGCGAUUAUUAUAAAUAAUAAAGUAG